GGCCUGAUGGUCUAGUCGUAUGAUUCUCGCUUUGGGUCAAAGAACACAACAUGCGAGAGGUCCGGGGUUCAAUUCCCCGUCAGGCCC